rnacentral:rRNA from 1 species
UGAGGUGACUUCUGCCCAGUGCUCUGAUUGUCAAGGCGAAGAGAUUCCGCCAAGCGCGGGUAAACGGCGGGAGUAACUAUGACUCUCUUAAGGUAGCCAAAUGCCUCGUCAACCAAUUAUUGACGCGCAUGAAUGGAUCAACGAGAUUCCUGCUGUCCCUAGGUGCUGUCCGGUGAACCAACAGCCAAGGGAACGGGCUUGGGCGUGUCAGCGGGGAAAGAAGACCCUGUUGAGUUUGACUCUAGUUUGAUGCUGUGCAACGACAUGUGGGGUGUAGCACAGGUGGGAGGCCCGUGCCAUCGGCAAGAUUGGAAAAGGAGAAACAGGUCUGUGAUGUGAACGCGCUCCGGCGCACAGCUCCGAAUCGGUCCUGUCUGUGGGACCAACCUGGUUGUAACUGGAUUGAUAGCUUUGGCUUGGAUUGGAUUGUUUGUCUGGCUUCAGAACGAGGGAAAGAAGACGAAAGAAGACUGGCUCCGUCUUACAAUUGGUGCAAACCAGCAGUGAAAUACCACUACCUUCACCGUCGUUUUACUCAUCGAGUGGCUUGGGACCAGCGGCUCACUUGGACAUCGGCCCCCGCACGUCCUGUGGGGGUCGCAGCUAUCAUCUGCUUCGUGCGUCCAGCGUGGCCGGCUCCCGCCGGCCGCGCGACCCUGUGCGGGGUUCGCAACACCCCGCACCCAUCCUUCGGUGCCUCGGGACAAUGAUCAGUUGGGGAGUUUGGCUGGGGCGGCACGCCUGUUACAGGACAACGCAGGCGUCCUGAAGCAUUGCUCAGAUGGAACAGAAAUCUUGCACGGAGGAGCAGGCCAAAGGUGCUGCUGAUGCGGCGACUCCCAGUGCGAGUCCAAAACGUGCAAGUGUGGCCUUGCGAUCCUUUGGUCAAGUGCGCGGGUUCUGGAUAUUGAAGCCAGAGGUGUCAGAAAAAUUACCACAGGGAUAACUGGCUUGUGGCUGCCAAGCGUUCAAAGCGACGUCGCUUUUUGAUCCUUCGAUGUCGGCUCUUCCUAGCUUCCCACCCGCAGCCGAGUG